rnacentral:rRNA from 1 species
UACGUAGGGGGCAAGCGUUGUCCGGAAUCAUUGGGCGUAAAGAGCGCGUAGGCGGUCCGAUAAGUCGGCUGUGAAAGUCCAGGGCUCAACCCUGGGAUGCCGGUCGAUACUGCCGGACUAGAGUUCGGAAGAGGCGAGUGGAAUUCCCGGUGUAGCGGUGAAAUGCGCAGAUAUCGGGAGGAACACCUAUGGCGAAGGCAGCUCGCUGGGACGUUACUGACGCUGAGACGCGAAAGCGUGGGGAGCAAACAGG